CUGUCUUUACGAGCUUUCUUAAUCUAUAUGAGUAGUCAUUGAUCCACGAUUCAAGUUCACCCAAAUUUCCUGCUACUCUUAGACUUACCCUCAUUUUUGCAUCAGGUUUGGCCGAAUCACAAGUACUAUGGGUAUUAAUUGAAUGUUUAGUGCGUUCUGACUUGUUUCUUAUCGUAAAUAUUUCGGCAAAAUUGUCGCUAGCUUUACAUUAUAUACAAUUAGACACAUUGUUCUGGGGCAACAUAGCCCAGGACAGUUGUAAGAAAAGAGGUCACUGGAAUGAGAAGGUAACAUAGCGAAGACUGAACAGAAUGGCGAGGUUUUACGACGAGAAAAUAAUGUACGUAUCGUAAACAGAGUGCUUUUUUGGUUUUCUCCUGCUUCUUUUUAGGGUAGUCUUGGGCCCACUGGAACAAUCGGAGCGCCUGGACUUCCUGGACAGCAGGGGCCAGGUGGAGAGCUUGGUGAAACUGGUGAACCGGGGGUGCCAGGCGAAGUGGGAUUAUCAGGGUCUCCUGGCUCAACCGGGCAAGAUGGAACUCCUGGGGCAAAGGGUUCUAAAGGAGACGACGGCCUCAAUGGUAUCCCGGGAAGUCGGGGUUUCGUAGGAAAAUUUGGUGACAAAGGUGUUGGUGGAACAGUUGGUGCACCUGGGAUAUCUGGUGAACGCGGUGACCAGGGCAAACCUGGAAGAGCUGUAAGUAAUGAAAAAGCAAUCACAUGCAUUUGUCUCUUUUGUUCCAGGUUUCAAGUUUACUUUUUUCACAGCUUGCAAAACAUCCUUGCCUCGCCCACUCCCCUGUACGCCCGUCGGCUCUAAGAGCGGCUACAAAGUUCCUCCACUCCUGUCUGUCACGUGCAUUUCUCUCGUUGACUCCGCAGGUGCAAUUUAGGCUUUGCAAAACAUGAUAAGGCUCAAUUUCCUGACAUUUUGAGGUCCUGCAUCCUUUAGUAGAUGAAAUCCAAACUUUCAAAACAAAUGAAAUUCAAAUCAAGUCCAGCUAAACUGCAACGUAUUCUGCAGCACAACUAAGCGCAGUUGACUGUAACGAUAUACAAGGCAAUGAAUUUUACGUUUCUGCUAUUCUUUUAACUUCCCGACUAUCAACGCCCAAUUCUUCUGUUGUGUUUAAGAAAUGCUUAUCAAAUCUAAAACCAUUGUAAGAUUUCAGUUAAUUUUCUU